GAAGACACGCAUCGGGCUGUGGCCAGACGGUUGGCAGCCAGGGACCUAGCCAAGCCUCCCUGCCCCCGACGCCCGCGUCCAGGGAUCGUCGAUGACAGUUCGCCUGUCGGGACAUCGGAUCAGGCGGCCGCCCCUGGGGAGAUGAGCAAGUCAAGCCACAGCUGACCUGUGAAAGGCCGUGUAACAGUGACUGGAAGAACCAGGAAGCCUAAACAAAUCAGGAGUAUGAAAGGGAGAGAACACAGUGCUGCGGGAGUUUAUGCCAAAGGCACGGACCCAGGCAUCAGCGUUUAAGUUUAAACUGUCUAGAGGGUGAGUAGAACUUAUCCUGGU
rnacentral:lncRNA from 1 species